UACAUAGGGUGCAAACGUUGCUCGGAAUCAUUGGGCGUAAAGCGCGCGUAGGCGGUUGCUUAAGUCGGAUGUGAAAGCCCUCGGCUUAACUGAGGAAGUGCAUCCGAAACUGAGCAGCUAGAGUACGAAAGAGGGUCGCGGAAUUCCCGGUGUAGAGGUGAAAUUCGUAGAUAUCGGGAGGAACACCGGUGGCGAAGGCGGCGACCUGGGUCGAGACUGACGCUGAGGCGCGAAAGCGUGGGGAGCAAACAGG
rnacentral:rRNA from 1 species